rnacentral:rRNA from 1 species
UACGUAGGGUGCAAGCGUUAAUCGGAAUUACUGGGCGUAAAGCGUGCGCAGGCGGUUUUGUAAGUCUGUCGUGAAAUCCCCGGGCUCAACCUGGGAAUGGCGAUGGAGACUGCAAGGCUAGAGUUUGGCAGAGGGGGGGUAGAAUUCCACGUGUAGCAGUGAAAUGCGUAGAUAUGUGGAGGAACACCGAUGGCGAAGGCAGCCCCCUGGGUCAAAACUGACGCUCAUGCACGAAAGCGUGGGGAGCAAGCAGG